AGUAUCUAAUUUUAUGGUAGUACCACUUGGUUCUCUGAUCCUUUCGGUUUUCAAAAGCUGAGCAUCACUGGGCUGGAUCAGUACUUGAAUGGGAGACUUCAGCUACUGCAAGAAGUGAUAUUC
rnacentral:rRNA from 1 species